ACUGAACGCUGGCGGCAGGCUUAACACAUGCAAGUCGAGCGGGGGAGAUUGCUUCGGUAAUUGACCUAGCGGCGGACGGGUGAGUAAUACUUAGGAAUCUGCCUAUUAAUGGGGGACAACAUCUCGAAAGGGAUGCUAAUACCGCAUACGCCCUACGGGGGAAAGCAGGGGAUCACUUGUGACCUUGCGUUAAUAGAUGAGCCUAAGUCGGAUUAGCUAGUUGGUGGGGUAAAGGCCUACCAAGGCGACGAUCUGUAGCGGGUCUGAGAGGAUGAUCUGCCAACCUGGGACUGAGACACGGCCCAGACUCCUACGGGAGGCAGCAGUGGGGAAUAUUGGACAAUGGGGGGAACCCUGAUCCAGCCAUGCCGCGUGUGUGAAGAAGGCCUUAUGGUUGUAAAGCACUUUAAGCGAGGAGGAGGCUCUUUUGGUUAAUACCCAAGAUGAGUGGACGUUACUCGCAGAAUAAGCACCGGCUAACUCUGUGCCAGCCGCCGCCGUAAGAC
rnacentral:rRNA from 1 species